UUUGUAAGUGUUUAAGGGCGCAUGGUGGAUGCCUUGGCACUGGGAGCCGAUGAAGGACGUGGGAGGCUGCGAUAUGCCUCGGGGAGGUGUCAACCGACCGGUGAUCCGAGGAUGUCCGAAUGGGGAAACCCGGCACGAGUGAUGUCGUGUCACCCAACGCUGAAUGUAUAGGCGUUGGGGGGGAACGCGGGGAAGUGAAACAUCUCAGUACCCGUAGGAAGAGAAAACAAUUGUGAUUCCGUGAGUAGUGGCGAGCGAAAGCGGAGGAUGGCUAAACCGUGCGCAUGUGAUACCCGGCGGGGGUUGUGUGUGCGGUGUUGUGGGGUCAACGUUCUCUGGUCCGCCGAUCAGGGCAACAGUGAGAAAACAGUGUGUUAGGCGAAGUGGCUUGGGAUGGCCUGCCGUAGACGGUGAGAGCCCGGUAGUCGAAAACAUGUUGUCUGUUGUCGUUGUGUCCCCGAGUAGCAGCGGGCCCGUGGAAUCUGCUGUGAAUCUGCCGGGACCACCCGGUAAGCCUGAAUACUUCUCAGUGACCGAUAGCGGAUUAGUACCGUGAGGGAAUGGUGAAAAGUACCCCGGGAGGGGAGUGAAAUAGUACCUGAAACCGUGCGCUUACAAUCCGUCAGAGCCCUCUCUUUGAGUGGGGUGAUGGCGUGCCUUUUGAAGAAUGAGCCUGCGAGUCAGGGGCAUGUCGCGAGGUUAACCCGGGUGGGGUAGCCGUAGCGAAAGCGAGUCUGAAUAGGGCGUAUCCACGCAAGUGGUGUAGUGGCAUGUUCUGGACCCGAAGCGGAGUGAUCUACCCAUGGCCAGGGUGAAGCGCGGGUAAGACCGUGUGGAGGCCCGAACCCACUUAGGUUGAAGACUGAGGGGAUGAGUUGUGGGUAGGGGUGAAAGGCCAAUCAAACUCCGUGAUAGCUGGUUCUCCCCGAAAUGCAUUUAGGUGCAGCGUUGCGUGUUUCUUGCCGGAGGUAGAGCUACUGGAUGGCCGAUGGGCCUCACAAGGUUACUGACGUCAGCCAAACUCCGAAUGCCGGUAAGUGUAAGCGUGGCAGUGAGACGGCGGGGGAUAAGCUCCGUGCGUCGAGAGGGAAACAGCCCAGAUCGCCGGCUAAGGCCCCUAAGCGUGUGCUAAGUGGAAAAGGAUGUGCAGUCGCGAAGACAACCAGGAGGUUGGCUUAGAAGCAGCCACCCUUGAAAGAGUGCGUAAUAGCUCACUGGUCAAGUGAUUGUGCGCCGAUAAUGUAGCGGGGCUCAAGCACACCGCCGAAGCCGCGGCAAUACGUAAGUAUUGGGUAGGGGAGCGUCCUGCAUCCGGUGAAGCAGCCGAGUGAUCGUGUUGUGGAGGGUGUGGGAGUGAGAAUGCAGGCAUGAGUAGCGAUAAGGCAAGUGAGAACCUUGCCCGCCGAAAGACCAAGGGUUCCUGGGCCAGGCCAGUCCGCCCAGGGUGAGUCGGGACCUAAGGCGAGGCCGACAGGCGUAGUCGAUGGACAACGGGUUGAUAUUCCCGUACCCGUGUGAGCGCGUCCCUGAUGAAUCAGUGGUACUAACCGCCCAAAAGGCGCUGGAUCUAAUCCUUCGGGAGAGGACCGGUGCUGGCUGCGCGGGACCUUCGCUGGUAGUAGUCAAGCGAUGGGGUGACGCAGGAAGGUAGCCGUACCAGUCAGUGGUAAUACUGGGGCAAGCCUGUAGGGAGUCAGAUAGGCAAAUCCGUCUGGCAUAUAUCCUGAGAGGUGAUGCAUAACCGUAUGAGGUGAAUUCGGUGAUCCUAUGCUGCCGAGAAAAGCCUCUAGCGAGCUCUCACACGGCCCGUACCCCAAACCAACACAGGUGGUCAGGUAGAGAAUACCAAGGCGUACGAGUGAACUAUGGUUAAGGAACUCGGCAAAAUACCCCCGUAACUUCGGGAGAAGGGGGGCCCACAUGUCGUGAACACCCUUGCGGUGGGAGCGGGAGUGGGUCGCAGAAACCAGUGAGAAGCGACUGUUUACUAAAAACACAGGUCCGUGCGAAGUCGCAAGACGAUGUAUACGGACUGACGCCUGCCCGGUGCUGGAAGGUUAAGAGGACCCGUUAAUCGUAAGGUGAAGCGGAGAAUUUAAGCCCCAGUAAACGGCGGUGGUAACUAUAACCAUCCUAAGGUAGCGAAAUUCCUUGUCGGGUAAGUUCCGACCUGCACGAAUGGCGUAACGACUUCUCAACUGUCUCAACCAUAGACUCGGCGAAAUUGCACUACGAGUAAAGAUGCUCGUUACGCGCGGCAGGACGAAAAGACCCCGGGACCUUCACUACAACUUGGUAUUGGCGUUCGAUACGGUUUGUGUAGGAUAGGUGGGAGACUGUGAAGCGGUCACGCCAGUGAUUGUGGAGUCAUUGUUGAAAUACCACUCUGAUCGUAUUGGACUUCUAACUUCGAACCGUAUAUCCGGUUCAGGGACAGUGCCUGGUGGGUAGUUUAACUGGGGCGGUUGCCUCCCAAAAUGUAACGGAGGCGCCCAAAGGUUCCCUCAACCUGGACGGCAAUCAGGUGUUGAGUGCAAGUGCACAAGGGAGCUUGACUGUGAGACUGACACGUCGAGCAGGGACGAAAGUCGGGACUAGUGAUCCGGCACCCCCGAGUGGAAGGGGUGUCGCUCAACGGAUAAAAGGUACCCCGGGGAUAACAGGCUGAUCUUCCCCAAGAGUCCAUAUCGACGGGAUGGUUUGGCACCUCGAUGUCGGCUCGUCGCAUCCUGGGGCUGGAGCAGGUCCCAAGGGUUGGGCUGUUCGCCCAUUAAAGCGGCACGCGAGCUGGGUUUAGAACGUCGUGAGACAGUUCGGUCUCUAUCCGCCGCGCGCGUCAGAAACUUGAGGAAAUCUGUCCCUAGUACGAGAGGACCGGGACGGACGAACCUCUGGUAUACCAGUUGUUCCACCAGGAGCACGGCUGGAUAGCCACGUUCGGACAGGAUAACCGCUGAAAGCAUCUAAGCGGGAAACCCCUUCCAAGACCAGGUUUCUCACCCUCUAGGAGGGAUAAGGCCCCCCGCAGACCACGGGAUCGAUAGGCCAGACCUGUACACACAGCAAUGUGUUAGGGAACUGGCACUAACCGGCCGAAAACUUACAACAACCUU
rnacentral:rRNA from 1 species